rnacentral:misc_RNA from 1 species
GACGGAGGGUGCGAGCGUUGUUCGGAAUCAUUGGGCGUAAAGGGCGCGCAGGCGGCCCGCCGCGUCCGGUGUGAAAGCCCGGGGCUCAACCCCGGAAUCGCACUGGAAACGGGCGGGCUUGAGUCCGGGAGAGGCCAGUGGAAUUCCUGGUGUAGGGGUGAAAUCCGUAGAUAUCAGGAGGAACACCGGCGGCGAGAGCGACUGGCUGGACCGGGACUGACGCUGAGGCGCGAAAGCACGGGUAGCGAACAGG